rnacentral:rRNA from 1 species
AACGAACGCUGGCGGCAUGCCUAACACAUGCAAGUCGAACGAAACCGUCGGGUCUAUGGGCGCACGGGGGCGUGACGCGGGGGGAGCUGCACUUGGGUUCGGAAUAACUCCCCGAAGGGGGUGCUAAUACAGGAUAAGGUCUUCGGACCAACGAGUUAUCGCCUUUGGCUGGGGGCGGGUUGGAUUGGCUGGUUGGUAGGGGAAAAGCAGGCCAAGGGGACGAUGCCGAGCUGGUGGGAGAGGAUGGUCCGCCACACUGGGACUGCGACCCGGCCCAGACGCCUACGGGAGGCAGCAGUGGGGAAUAUUGGACACUGGGCGCAAGUCUGAUCCAGCCAUGCCGCGUGAGUGAUGAAGGCCUUAGGGUUGUAAAGCUCUUUUACCCGGGAUGAUAAUGACAGUACCGGGUGAAUAAGCUCCGGCUAACUACGUG